AGGCAGCAGGCGCGCAACUUAUCCAAUCCCGACACGGGGAGAUAGUGACAAUAAAUAACAAUACAGGGCUCUUUUGGGUCUUGUAAUUGGAAUGAGUACAAUAUAAAUACCUUAACGAGGAUCAAUUGGAGGGCAAGUCUGGUGCCAGCAGCCGCGGUAAUUCCAGCUCCAAUAGCGUAUAUUAAAAUUGUUGCCGUUAAAACGCGCUGAGUCGAACUUGGGCUCUCGCCGGCUGGUCCGCCAAUGGCGAGUACUGGUGUGGUGGGAGCUUACUUUCUGGUGAAAACACAUGUCGUUUACUCGGCGUGUGUGGGAACCAGGACUAUUACUUUGAGAAAAUCAGAGUGUUCAAAGCAGGCGAAUGCCGGAAUGUAUUAGCAUGGAAUAAUGGAACAGGACGUGCGCUCUUGAUUCGUUGGUUUGCGGGAGCGCCGUAAUGAUGAAUAGCGGCAGUUGGGGGCAUUCGUAUUCAGUUGCUAGAGGUGAAAUUCUUGGAUUUACUGAGGACGAACUACUGCGAAAGCAUUUGCCAAAGAUGCGCGCAUUGAUCAAGCACGAAGGAUGGGGGAUCCAAAACGAUUAGAUACCGUUGUAGUCCCAUCAGUAAACGAUGCCGACUAGGGAUUGGACAAGGAUUUUAAUGACUUGUCCAGCACCUGAAGAGAAAUCUUUGAGUAAGGUUCGGGGGGGAGUAUGGUCGCAAGGCUGAAACUUAAAGGAAUUGACGGAAGGGCACCACCAGGUGUGGAGCCUGCGGCUUAAUUUGACUCAACACGGGGAAACUCACCAGGUCCAGACACAAUAAGGAUUGACAGAUUGAUAGCUCUUUCUUGAUCUUGUGGUUGGUGGUGCAUGGCCGUUCUUAGUUGGUGGAGUGAUUUGUCUGGUUAAUUCCGAUAACGAACGAGACCUUAACCUGCUAAAUAGCCCAGUCGGCGCUUAGGCGACUGCUGGCUUCUUAGAGGGACUAUCUGCGUCUAGCAGAUGGAAGUUUGAGGCAAUAACAGGUCUGUGAUGCCCUUAGAUGUUCUGGGCCGCACGCGCGCUACACUGACGAAGCCAGCGAGUAUAUUUUUCCUUGCCCGGAAGGGCUGGGUAAUCUUGGGAAACUUCGUCGUGAUGGGGAUAGAGCAUUGCAAUUAUUGCUCUUCAACGAGGAAUACCUAGUAAGCGUGAGUCAUCAGCUCGCGUUGAUUACGUCCCUGCCCUUUGUACACACCGCCCGUCGCUACUACCGAUUGAAUGGCUUAGUGAGG
rnacentral:rRNA from 1 species